rnacentral:rRNA from 1 species
CCUACGGGAGGCAGCAGUGGGGAAUAUUGCACAAUGGGUGAAAGCCUGAUGCAGCGACGCCGCGUGAGCGAAGAAGUAUUUCGGUAUGUAAAGCUCUAUCAGCAGGGAAGAUAAUGACGGUACCUGACUAAGAAGCACCGGCUAAAUACGUGCCAGCAGCCGCGGUAAU